GAGGGUAUCGCUCAGUGGUAGAGCGCAUGCUUAGCAUGUACAAAGCCCUGGGUUCAAUCCCCAGUACCUCCA
rnacentral:tRNA from 1 species